rnacentral:rRNA from 1 species
UACGUAGGGGGCAAGCGUUGUCCGGAAUCAUUGGGCGUAAAGCGCGUGUAGGCGGCUCGGUAAGUCUGCUGUGAAAGUCCAGGGCUCAACCCUGGGAUGCCGGUGGAUACUGUCGAGCUCGAGUCCGGAAGAGGCGAGUGGAAUUCCUGGUGUAGCGGUGAAAUGCGCAGAUAUUGGGAAGAACACCAGUGGCGAAGGCGGUUCUCUGGGACGGUACUGACGCUGAGACGCGAAAGCGUGGGGAGCGAACAGG